UGCGACGACGGCGAGAGCCCGAGUCACAAUGAGUGAGCGGCCGGUGCGAGCGACCGGCCGGCGAACAUAUGAUCGACGGAGGGGCGCGGGGCGGGGCACCGCCUGUGAGGCCCGCACGCAGGAGGCGCCGUAAGCCGACACCGACUAUGGGAUUACAGAGCGGCCGCCGAGACUCGUCGGAGGCCCGGGGCCGCCCGCCUCAUCACGCCUUGUUACAUGCAAUGGAAUUCACCAAAAUACAUAUUAGAAUGUUCCAGUACCGAAACAUCCUUUUAUAUCAUUGAGCAACACAAAAUGCACCUUAAAGUAAACGCUCUAAGGUGAUAUAUAAUAGUAAAGGUGCGAAGGCAGGUUAAGCUACUAUCAAUCAGCAAGGCGCCAUUGAGGGUUGGCCAUGGUUCGUGAGAAAUCGUAAACACUUACCCGCUUUAUCUGAUAGAUUUUUUUUUGCUCACCAGCGGGUCCAGUCAAUUAAUGGAUUGCGCCGUUACUUGGUUUAUUUUUGGUACCUACCGGCUGCUUAGGCAUUAGAAGAAACUAAUUUAUUUUGAACGUUUUGACAGACAAGGUAUAACGAAGUACCUGUAAAGGAAUGCUAACGAAACUCGCGUUAUCUUUGAUUAUUAUAAAUGGAAGGUAUAAUGUGUCCUGUGGGAGGUUAAUCGAUUAUGUCUUCAAACGGAUCGUACCUGUUUUAUUGAUUCAAAUUAUAGCAUGUUUGUUAAAGAUCAUUUGAGAUCUCAAUUGAGUUCAAAAUACAUAUAUACAGUUAGUUGAAUGUAAGCGAGAAUUAAUUGCAUCCUUGUACAGGAAUUCGAUUGACCCGUUAGUCGUGACAUUGGUGCGUCUAAGCGUUUUAGAAUUGAAGGCAAAUAUUUGUGGUUGGUCUGAGCGGUGUACACCGCACAUGUGCGUAUAAAAAACUGUAGUGUUUAGUGUGGUGUGGCUAUGUGUUGACAGUGCGCAUAGCUGCGGCAAAGCGCUGCGCCCGCGCCACCGACCCGACCACCCUGCGCUCCUACAUCAUCCACUCUAAGUAAUUUAAACAACAUAAAUAUUACCAUC